UUUCUGUUCUGCUCUGCAUCACCAUAAUAAACCAGAACCAAACACGGAGAAGCUCUAUUCAGCGUCUAUGCACCACAGAUGUGGAACAAGCUUCCAGAAAACUGCAAAACAGCCGCAACACUGAGUUUCUUUAACUCAAG